CCCGUUCUCCCUCUCCGAGAGGAGGCCAUAAAUCACCCCACCAGCGAGGAUGUUUACGGCUCGCCGCCCUCCGUCACCCCCCGGCAGGAAGAGCGGGGUCGCGGUGUGACAGAAACUCAUCUUCAAAGGCAUAUGUUUAUUUUUUACAGCUCCGCUCUAUGAGCCUUCCAUUUUCAAAAAAGUAACCGGCGUCAUUUAACGACCUUCCCCUCGGACGCGUUCACCUGGAAGCUCUUCGCUUCCUCCCUCGGACCUCUGAAGAGCAAAGAACCGCCGGGCGAUCGGCCAGCAGCCGUGCGGGUCACCUCGGCGGCGCCCGUGAUGGCCCCCACCGGGGUCAGACCUCGUUUCCUCACGUUACGCCAAGAAUUCGAUCUGUCCCUGGUUGCCGCACGCUAACCAAAGCCGUUGCCGUGUUACCAUUUUCCAACAGGAUACUUCCGAUACAGGCUUUCCUCAAGACGGCUCCCACAUCCGCGCGGGAUACGUCGACCCGAGAAGGUCUGGGAACCGAGAGCUUCGGGCCUGAGAUGACCGUUUCACCGUCACAGCACCGAACAGCACGAUUUGCCCGAGGAGAAGAGUGAGGUGCUGAUGGGUUUGCAGCAUGGCUGUGUUCCACCCGACUGUCUUGCCAUCGACACCCGGCCCACAUCUUCCCUCUGGCCCGGAAGUCCCUCAUCCUUCACAGACGGCGGACCGUCACUCUUCCCACCUCCCAACCCUUAUUAAAAUCACAUCUGGCUCCAUUUAA